rnacentral:rRNA from 1 species
AUGAACGCUGGCGGCGUGCCUAACACAUGCAAGUCGAACGGAGCUGCUUUGAUGAAGUUUUCGGAUGGAUUUAAAACAGCUUAGUGGCGGACGGGUGAGUAACGCGUGGGUAACCUGCCUCACACUGGGGGAUAACAGUUAGAAAUAGCUGCUAAUACCGCAUAAGCGCACAGUUCCGCAUGGAACGGUGUGAAAAACUCCGGUGGUGUGAGAUGGACCCGCGUCUGAUUAGCCAGUUGGCGGGGUAACGGCCCACCAAAGCGACGAUCAGUAGCCGGCCUGAGAGGGUGAACGGCCACAUUGGGACUGAGACACGGCCCAAACUCCUACGGGAGGCAGCAGUGGGGAAUAUUGCACAAUGGGGGAAACCCUGAUGCAGCGACGCCGCGUGAGUGAAGAAGUAUUUCGGUAUGUAAAGCUCUAUCAGCAGGGAAGAAAGUGACGGUACCUGAAUAAGAAGCCCCGGCUAACUACGUGCCAGCAGCCGCGGUAAUACGUAGGUGGCGAGCGUUAUCCGGAAUUAUUGGGCGUAAAGAGGGAGCAGGCGGCACUAAGGGUCUGUGGUGAAAGAUCGAAGCUUAACUUCGGUAAGCCAUGGAAACCGUAGAGCUAGAGUGUGUGAGAGGAUCGUGGAAUUCCAUGUGUAGCGGUGAAAUGCGUAGAUAUUAGGAAGAACACCAGUGGCGAAGGCGGCUUACUGGACGGUAACUGACGUUGAGGCUCGAAAGCGUGGGGAGCAAACAGGAUUAGAUACCCUGGUAGUCCACGCCGUAAACGAUGAUUGCUAGGUGUAGGUGGGUAUGGACCCAUCGGUGCCGCAGCUAACGCAAUAAGCAAUCCACCUGGGGAGUACGUUCGCAAGAAUGAAACUCAAAGGAAUUGACGGGGACCCGCACAAGCGGUGGAGCAUGUGGUUUAAUUCGAAGCAACGCGAAGAACCUUACCAGGUCUUGACAUCCCGAUGAAAAACCCGUAACGGGGUUCCCUCUUCGGAGCAUCGGAGACAGGUGGUGCAUGGUUGUCGUCAGCUCGUGUCGUGAGAUGUUGGGUUAAGUCCCGCAACGAGCGCAACCCUUAUUCUUAGUAGCCAGCAGGUAAGGCUGGGCACUCUAAGGAGACUGCCGGGGAUAACCCGGAGGAAGGUGGGGAUGACGUCAAAUCAUCAUGCCCCUUAUGAUCUGGGCUACACACGUGCUACAAUGGCGUAACAAAGGGAAGCGAGCCUGCGAGGGUGAGCGAAUCCCAAAAAUAACGUCCCAGUUCGGACUGUAGUCUGCAACCCGACUACACGAAGCUGGAAUCGCUAGUAAUCGCGAAUCAGAAUGUCGCGGUGAAUACGUUCCCGGGUCUUGUACACACCGCCCGUCACACCAUGGGAGUCGGAAAUGCCCGAAGUCUGUGACUCAACCGCAAGGAGAGAGCAGCCGAAGGCAGGUCUGAUAACUGGGGUG